rnacentral:rRNA from 1 species
GACGAACGCUGGCGGCGUGCUUAACACAUGCAAGUCGAGCGGUAAGGCCCUUUCGGGGGUACACGAGCGGCGAACGGGUGAGUAACACGUGGGUGACCUGCCCUCAGCUCUGGGAUAAGCCUGGGAAACCGGGUCUAAUACCGGAUAUGACUCCAUGACGCACGUUGUGGGGUGGAAAGCCUUGUGCGGCUGAGGAUGGGCCCGCGGCCUAUCAGCUUGUUGGUGGGGUGAUGGCCUACCAAGGCGACGACGGGUAGCCGGCCUGAGAGGGCGACCGGCCACACUGGGACUGAGACACGGCCCAGACUCCUACGGGAGGCAGCAGUGGGGAAUCUUGCGCAAUGGGCGAAAGCCUGACGCAGCGACGCCGCGUGAGGGAUGACGGCCU